CCUACGGGGUGCUGCAGUGAGGAAUAUUGGUCAAUGGACGAGAGUCUGAACCAGCCAAGUAGCGUGAAGGAUGACUGCCCUAUGGGUUGUAAACUUCUUUUAUAUGGGAAUAAAAUGUUCCACGUGUGGGAUUUUGUAUGUACCAUAUGAAUAAGGAUCGGCUAACUCCGUGCCAGCAGCCGCGGUAAUACGGAGGAUCCGAGCGUUAUCCGGAUUUAUUGGGUUUAAAGGGAGCGUAGGUGGAUUGUUAAGUCAGUUGUGAAAGUUUGCGGCUCAACCGUAAAAUUGCAGUUGAAACUGGCAGUCUUGAGUACAGUAGAGGUGGGCGGAAUUCGUGGUGUAGCGGUGAAAUGCUUAGAUAUCGCGAAGAACUCCGAUUGCGAAGGCAGUUCACUGGACUGCAACUGACACUGAGGCUCGAAAGUGUGGGUAUCAAACAGGAUUAGAUACCCGAGUAGUC
rnacentral:rRNA from 1 species